rnacentral:rRNA from 1 species
AUUGAACUCUGGCGGCAGGCUUAACACAUGCAAGUCGAGCGAGCGGCGGACGGGUGAGUAAUGUCUGGGAAACUGCCUGAUGGAGGGGGAUAACUACUGGAAACGGUAGCUAAUCCCGCAUACCAUCAGAUGUGCCCAUAUGGGAUUAGCUAGUAUGUGGGGUAAUGUCUCACCUAGGCGACGAUCCCUAGCUGGUCUGAGAGGAUGACCAGCCACACUGGAACUGAUACACGGUCCAGACUCCUACGGGAGGCAGCAGUGGGGAAUAUUGCACAAUGGGCGCAAGCCUGAUGCAGCCAUGCCGCGUGUGUGAAGAAGGCCUUCGGGUUGUAAAGCACUUGCAGCGAGGAGGCGUUACUCGCAGAAGAAGCACCGGCUAACUCCGUGCCAGCAGCCGCGGUAAUUC